rnacentral:rRNA from 1 species
UACGAAGGGGGCGAGCGUUGUUCGGAUUUACUGGGCGUAAAGGGCGCGCAGGCGGCUCAUUUUGUCCGGCGUGAAAGCCCCGGGCUUAACCUGGGAACUGCGUUUGAUACGGAUGGGCUAGAGUUCGGGAGAGGAGAGUGGAAUUCCUAGUGUAGAGGUGAAAUUCGUAGAUAUUGGGAAGAACACCGGUGGCGAAGGCGGCCCGCUGGGCAGAGACUGACGCUGAGGCGCGACAGCGUGGGGAGCAAACAGG